UACGAAGGGGGCUAGCGUUGUUCGGAAUUACUGGGCGUAAAGGGCGCGUAGGCUGUGCUGUACGUCAGGCGUGAAAUCCCCGGGCUCAACCUGGGAAUUGCGUUUGAUACUGCGGCGCUGGAAUGCAGGAGAGGAUGGCGGAAUUCCCAGUGUAGAGGUGAAAUUCGUAGAUAUUGGGAAGAACACCGGUGGCGAAGGCGGCCAUCUGGCCUGUAAUUGACGCUGAGGCGCGAAAGCGUGGGGAGCAAACAGG
rnacentral:rRNA from 1 species